AUUGAACGCUGGCGGCAGGCCUAACACAUGCAAGUCGAGCGGCAGCGGGACCUUCGGGUUGCCGGCGAGCGGCGGACGGGUGAGUAAUGCCUAGGAAUCUGCCUGUUAGUGGGGGAUAACGCGGGGAAACUCGCGCUAAUACCGCAUACGUCCUACGGGAGAAAGCGGGGGCUCUUCGGACCUCGCGCUAACAGAUGAGCCUAGGUCGGAUUAGCUAGUUGGUGGGGUAAUGGCUCACCAAGGCGACGAUCCGUAACUGGUCUGAGAGGAUGAUCAGUCACACUGGAACUGAGACACGGUCCAGACUCCUACGGGAGGCAGCAGUGGGGAAUAUUGGACAAUGGGCGAAAGCCUGAUCCAGCCAUGCCGCGUGUGUGAAGGAGGUCUUCGGAUUGUAAAGCACUUUAAGUCGGGAGGAAGGGCUGUAGGCUAAUACCUUGCAGUUUUGACGUUACCGACAGAAUAAGCACCGGCUAACUUCGUGCCAGCCGCCGCGGUAA
rnacentral:rRNA from 1 species